rnacentral:rRNA from 1 species
GCUAAAUACUCCUGACUGACCGAUAGUGAACCAGUACCGUGAGGGAAAGGCGAAAAGAACCCCGGCGAGGGGAGUGAAAAAGAACCUGAAACCGUGUACGUACAAGCAGUGGGAGCCUCUUAAUGGGGUGACUGCGUACCUUUUGUAUAAUGGGUCAGCGACUUAUAUUCUGUAGCAAGGUUAACCGAAUAGGGGAGCCGAAGGGAAACCGAGUCUUAACUGGGCGUUAAGUUGCAGGGUAUAGACCCGAAACCCGGUGAUCUAGCCAUGGGCAGGUUGAAGGUUGGGUAACACUAACUGGAGGACCGAACCGACUAAUGUUGAAAAAUUAGCGGAUGACUUGUGGCUGGGGGUGAAAGGCCAAUCAAACCGGGAGAUAGCUGGUUCUCCCCGAAAGCUAUUUAGGUAGCGCCUCGUGAAUUCAUCUCCGGGGGUAGAGCACUGUUUCGGCAAGGGGGUCAUCCCGACUUACCAACCCGAUGCAAACUGCGAAUACCGGAGAAUGUUAUCACGGGAGACACACGGCGGGUGCUAACGUCCGUCGUGAAGAGGGAAACAACCCAGACCGCCAGCUAAGGUCCCAAAGUCAUGGUUAAGUGGGAAACGAUGUGGGAAGGCCCAGACAGCCAGGAUGUUGGCUUAGAAGCAGCCAUCAUUUAAAGAAAGCGUAAUAGCUCACUGGUCGAGUCGGCCUGCGCGGAAGAUGUAACGGGGCUAAACCAUGCACCGAAGCUGCGGCAGCGACGCUUAUGCGUUGUUGGGUAGGG